rnacentral:rRNA from 1 species
UACGGAGGGAGCUAGCGUUGUUCGGAAUUACUGGGCGUAAAGCGCACGUAGGCGGCUAUUCAAGUCGGGGGUGAAAGCCCGGGGCUCAACCCCGGAACUGCCCUCGAAACUAGAUAGCUAGAAUCUUGGAGAGGCGAGUGGAAUUCCGAGUGUAGAGGUGAAAUUCGUAGAUAUUCGGAAGAACACCAGUGGCGAAGGCGACUCGCUGGACAAGUAUUGGCGCUGAGGUGCGAAAGCGUGGGGAGCAAACAGG